rnacentral:rRNA from 1 species
CUAAGGCGCUUGAGAGAACUCGGGUGAAGGAACUAGGCAAAAUGGUACCGUAACUUCGGGAGAAGGUACGCCCUUUUGGGUGAGGGCAUUUACUGUCUGAGCUUAAGAGGGCCGCAGAGACCAGGUGGCUGCGACUGUUUAUUAAAAACACAGCACUCUGCAAAUUCGUAAGAAGACGUAUAGGGUGUGACGCCUGCCCGGUGCCGGAAGGUUAAUUGAUGGGGUUAUCUUCGGAGAAGCUCUUGAUCGAAGCCCCGGUAAACGGCGGCCGUAACUAUAACGGUCCUAAGGUAGCGAAAUUCCUUGUCGGGUAAGUUCCGACCUGCACGAAUGGCGUAACGAUGGCCACACUGUCUCCACCCGAGACUCAGUGAAAUUGAAAUCGCUGUGAAGAUGCAGUGUACCCGCGGCUAGACGGAAAGACCCCGUGAACCUUUACUAUAGUUUUGCACUGGACUUUGAUGAUGACUGUGUAGGAUAGGUGGGAGGCUGUGAAGUGAGGACGCUAGUUCUCAUGGAGCCGCCCUUGAAAUACCACCCUGUUGUUAUUGAGGUUCUAACUUGGUCCAGUAAUCCUGGAUGAGGACAGUGUAUGAUGGGUAGUUUGACUGGGGCGGUCUCCUCCCAAAGAGUAACGGAGGAGCACAAAGGUACCCUCGGUACGGUCGGACAUCGUACCAAGAGUGUAAAGGCAAAAGGGUGCUUGACUGCGAGAGUGACGGCUCGAGCAGGAACGAAAGUUGGUCUUAGUGAUCCGGUGGUUCUGAAUGGAAGGGCCAUCGCUCAACGGAUAAAAGGUACUCCGGGGAUAACAGGCUGAUACCGCCCAAGAGUUCAUAUCGACGGCGGUGUUUGGCACCUCGAUGUCGGCUCAUCACAUCCUGGGGCUGAAGCAGGUCCCAAGGGUAUGGCUGUUCGCCAUUUAAAGUGGUACGCGAGCUGGGUUUAGAACGUCGUGAGACAGUUCGGUCCCUAUCUGCCGUGGGCGUAGGAAAAUUGAGAGGAGCUGCUCCUAGUACGAGAGGACCGGAGUGGACGAACCUCUGGUGCACCGGUUGUCACGCCAGUGGCAUGGCCGGGUAGCUAAGUUCGGACGGGAUAACCGCUGAAAGCAUCUAAGCGGGAAGCCUCCCUCAAGAUGAGUUUUCCCAUGAAGCCCGUUGAAGACUACGACGUUGAUAGGCAAGGUGUGGAAGCGCAGUAAUGCGUGAAGCUAACUUGUACUAAUUGGCUGAUUGUCUUGACCAUAUAAUCUGAG